ensembl:lncRNA
CGACGACAUAAACAGGAAAUGUACCAUAAUAACCGCAGGAAAGGUGUUGUCAGGAAAGCAACUUAUUUAGGCUUUUUAUAAUAAAACAACUCACACGCGUGCGCGCUGCUGCGGUAGACGGUACCUGCACGGCGAGACGAUGAGCUCGGGGUGCGCCGGUGAGAUGGAGCUCCUGACCCUGUCAGACCCCGCGCCCCCGGAGGACACAGCCAAGCUCAAGCACAGACUCCUCACGGCGUGGAACAGCCUGAAAUACGCAGGCUGGUUUCUGAAGUCCAAGCCUCGCCUCAGUAAGACUGAUCCCCUGUGGCUUCUGGGGCACAGUUACCUGCUCAGCCAGGACGGUAAACAUCCACACCCCCUCCAGCGACCUCGUUCUCUCUUCUAAAGGGGCUUUGUCUUUCCUUCAUGUGGUGAGCGAGACAGGUUUCGGCGGGCCUUCUGCUCUCUCCUGUGGUUGACCUAUAGGAGAGGCUUUGAGCCCCUGGGCGGUUCAUCCUUUAGCU